GCGUCUUCCAGCACGAAGAAGGCUAACCAAACACACAACCUCAAGCUAACUGUAACAACGAGUUGCGAUACUUGACAUUAUCAGAAAGUGAAACAUAAGCCCGAAGUAUUCGGUAAACGUUACCGCUGCAAGCGGGCCAUGCAGCUCCCCAGAAGGUAAUGAGCCGGAAAGCCUCGAGGUCUCGGCUCAGCGGUGCCCACAAACUGCAGCAGCCACACCGGAAUGACUGGCAGCCCAGAGUUGAUAGUGUGUCAUUCAUCGAGGACGGAGUGAGGUCCAGAGAGCUCGGUUCGGCAGCAUUUCCUGACACAUUGCCCUUCAGCUUGGCUGAGCAGCCUGUGGUGCCCAGCGAUGCCUAUGCUGCUGCAGAUGCACUUCUGGAAGAGGGUGGAUAUGAAGCUGGUCAAGGUGUCUGUGAUACUACUUUUGGUUGGAAGUCGCUGGGGCAAGAGUUGAGGCCAAAUGACGUGACGGCGGAUUUAAACUCUUUUCAGCAUGGAAACCGUGCUUUAGCUUCAAAGGACAUGAGGAAAUCGCAGGACAGAGGGAUGGCUCACUCCGAUGAGUCUCGGUUGGCCAACCUCCUGCGCCGAGUCUCAAGGGAGGAUGAUCGUGAUCGACGGUUGACCACCCUCAAGCAGUUAAAGGAAUUCUUCAGUCACAAUGAGAACAAAGUGAACUUGGUCAAACAGUUGGAAACCAUCCUCAGCACCUUGAAUGAUAUUUUGAAUGAGAGUAGUAAGCUGCUCUGGGAGUUGCGUCAGGAUGCAGCAGCCUGCUUGGGUCUGCUCUGCACUGUGCUCAGCUAUGAGGCAGAGCGCAUCUUCAAGUGGAUUUUCCUCAAGUUUGCUUCAAGCAAUCGUGACGAGGUGAAGCUGUUGUACCUGUUAGCAACACAGCGUGCUUUGGAGGCCGCGGGGGAGAGAAAGACCUUCACUCAAGUCAUGCAGCUGGUGAUGAGCAAUCUCCAGUCAAUCUUGGAGAAUGUGGACACUCCAGAGCUGCUUUGUCAAAGUGUGAAGUGUAUUCUUCAGGUGGCUCGCUGCUACCCACACGUCUUCAGCACCAAUUUCAGGGACACAGUGGAUAUCUUGGUGGGCUGGCACAUUGAUCAUACUCAGCAGCACUCACUCACUCAGCAGGUGUCAGCCUGGCUACAGAGUCUGGAGCAAUUCUGGGUGGCAGAUUUGACUUUUUCCACCACUCUGCUGGGACAGUUCUUGGAGGAUAUGGAAGCAUAUGCAGAGGAUCUGAGCCAUGUUGCGUCAGGUGAGGUGCCGGAUGAAGACAUCCCACCUCCUGCAGUGUCUCUACCAAAACUGGCAGCUCUUCUGAGGGUGUUCAGUACAGUAGUUCGUAGUAUCGGCGAGCUUUUCAGCCCCAUCAGAGGACCACCCAUCACUGAAGUCUAUGUCACUGAUAUUCUUAACCGGGUUCUGGCAUGUGUGACCACAGCCAAGCAGGUCCAGUUCUCUGAGGCAGUUCUAACUGCAGGGAAUGAGUGUGUGGGUGUGUUGCUGGCCAGCAUGGAGCCCUGUGGACAACUAAUGGAGACAGUCUUAGCCUAUGGCUUGGACCAGUUGGACUGCUGCCGUGCUUGUGGUUCAGACUACAACCUAGCAGCACUCAGCCUUCUCACUCUGAUUGUGGAACAGAUCAACACAAAGCUGCCUGCGUCCUUUGUGGAGAAAUUAUUAGCACCAGACUCGCAGCUGCUGGAAUUGCGUUCCCAUCGAGAGAAAGAGGUGGUGGCGAAUGUACAUGGGGUGUACCAGGCACUCCUGAGUCUGAAAAACAUUCCCACACUGGAGGCUGCUUAUAAAUUGGUAUUGGGAGAGAUGGCGUGUGCCUUGUCCAGCAUUCUGGCAACCCUGAAGCUGACUAGUGGAAUUGAGCCACCCGAUAUCCGCUGCCUCAGCAUCCAGCACCCUGCUUUCGCUUCAGUCACCCUCAACCCAGAGAAGGCACAGUUCAUCCUCAUCUUCAAUCUCAGCACCCUCACUACCAUUGGGAACACCAAGAACUCGCUCAUUGGGAUGUGGGCUUUGUCUCCUACCGUCUUUGCCCUGCUCAAUCAUACGUUGAUGCUGGUGCACUCUGAGUUAGCAGUCUACUACCCUGCCGUCCAGUAUGCUGUGCUUUACACCCUCUAUUCCCACUGCACCAGACAUGAUCAUUUCAUCUCAUCCAGCUUGUCGUCAUCUUCCCCAUCCCUGUUUGACGGUGCGGUCAUUAGCACUGUCACAACAGCUACAAAGAAACAUUUCAGCACUCUGCUAAACCUUCUGGGAGGGCUGCUGGUGAAGGAACAUCUGUACCCUGAAGCCAGGAGGCUGCUGCUGACGUGGGCUCAAGAGAUCUCACUGCUGAUGAAGAAGUCAGACACCUACAGCCCUCUCUUCUCCUUGCCUUCCUUCAACAAGUUCUGUCGCGGCCUGCUUUCCAAUGCCCUGAAUGAAGAUCAGCGUAUCUGCCUUCAGACCUGCAACAGUUUACUUAUUCUCUCUUCAUCUUUAUCUGUGGAACUUCUGCAGAGGUGUGUGGAUGUGUGCAGAGUCCAGCUGGUCCACUCAGCAGUGAGAGUGAGGCAGGCCUAUAGCAAGCUCCUUAGGACAAUCCCCCUGGAUGUUUCCUUAAGUAACCACAGCCGCCCAGAGAUGACUCAGAUCUCAUUGGCCAUCCGCCAGCACAUGAGUCGAGCACCAAGCAGCACCUUGCACCCCCAGGACUUCAGUGACCUCAUCAGCUUCAUUUUAUAUGGAGCCCUGCACCGUGGAGGCAAGGAUCCAUGGUUGGAGCGACUUCAUUACAGCUGCCAGCGCCUCGAGAAACGGGAUGGCCGGGGUGGUGCUGAUGGCAUGCGUCCCGGUGUCGUGCCCAGGGCUCUGUUAAAAACUGAAGUGGUGCUGUGGCAGUGGGCAGUGUGGGAAGCUGCACAGUUCACUGUCCUGUCCAAACUCCGAACUCCACUUGGCCGAGCUCAAGACACGUUCCAGACCAUUGAAGGUAUGAUCCGCAGCCUGGCAGCACACAGCCUAAACCCAGAGCAGGAUGUUGGACCAUGGGCUGGUGCUGGAAGUGACGGAGAUGGUCACCAUUCCAAUCAGCUCCGGAUCACUCUACUGCUUCAGUAUCUUGAGAACCUGGAGAAGCUUAUGUAUAACGCGUAUGAGGGCUGUGCUAAUGCGCUCACUGCCCCACCAAAGGGUAUCAGGACAUUCUUCUACACUAAUCGUCAGACGUGCCAAGACUGGCUGACAAGGAUCCGCCUUUCACUGAUGAGGGUUGGUCUCCUGUCUGGCCAGCCAGCAGUGACCAUACGUCACGGCUUUGAUCUUCUUGCUGAGAUUAAAAACAGCAACACCCAGGGUCCAGAAUUAGAGGUUCCUCUAACAUUAUUGGCAGAAGCUCUUUGCGAGCUGCGUUGUCCUGAUGCUAUCCAAGGACUUGCUGUCUGGAGCCUCUCUAACACUGGCAAGAGUCUCAGCUGGUUGUCCUCCGUUGCUUUACAAGCAGAGGGACGGUUUGAGAAAGCAGCUCUGGACUACCAAGAUCAGCUGUCUGCAGUUUCCGGGAUGGACUGCAGCAUCAAAAGCUCUGACUGUUACCUGCUUAAACUCACCAGUAAUACCAGCAGCCCCAAACAUACAAGCAAUGGUGAAAGCAGGAAAACUGUGUUGCUGAAGUCAAAUGAGUGCUCUCCUGAGGCGGUCAACCUCCUGGCCAACAAAGCAUGUCAGUGCUUUGUGGCACUUUGUGAUUGGCCCUCAGUCAAGGAAUGGCAGUCCACUGUUCAUGCUCUGAAACAGAAUUCUCCCAGUCUACUCAGCAUCAACCUAAGGGCUGAUUUCAACUACAUUCAGGCCCUAAGCCGCUUUGAGGAUGGAGAUUUCACUGAAUGUGGUGCUCAGCUGGAACUUCUCCCUGGAGAAGACUUCAGCUCACUUUCCAGUAACAAGGACAAGAUGGAUCUGAAGAGGCUUCUGCCCUCAUUGAGUCCUGAUCCAACAGAACUUCAGAGAGCCAUUGAGGUACAGCUCCUCCGUACUGCUGUUAGUGCCCUAGCAAAAGCCAGUCAGCCAACAGAGCAAAGGGCCACAGCCAAUCAAGAUACAUUGGUGCGAUGUCUGAAACAAACUGGACGGAUCUGUCUGGGUCCUCUUCGCCUGUCAACACUGACCCUCUCUGAUGCCUUGCCCACCCUUUCCACUUUGCAGCUCCAUUGUAUUGCCACUCUGGAGAACACUCUUUCAGGACAAGAGGACUAUGUGGUUCCUUUGAACAGUGAGACUCUGAGCUCAUGUAAACAACAGGAUGUUCAGCCUUUCCUUCAAGCCCUCAGAUACACCAUGUUCCAGAGACAACUCCUCAACAAACUGAGAGGUUCGUCUCCAACCACAGAUGCCCACCUGAUGGAACUUUGUUUGACCACUGUAAAGUUUGCUCGAAAAAAAGGCAACAUUGCCCUGGCAUCCCGCUUGCUCAGCCAGUGUUGCGAUGGAACCCAAGACAAGGAGCAGGGCGAUGAACUAAUAAAGGCCUUCCGGCGCCUCAAUGUGGAAGGCACACUGGGAGAGAAGUGGGGACCAGAGCUGCAGAUAGAAAAAGCCAAAGUAGUGAGGACUUCAGGCCAGUCCAUCACAGCGAUGGAAAUGCUGAGCAGGGCUGCUCUGUCAUAUUGCUAUGUGGGGAAGAAUGAAGGUGCUGCCUGUCGCUCACUGCUCACGCUUUGCAAAUGGCUGUUAGCCGACUGGAAGGACAUGAUACCCCAGCUUAAACAGGUUGUAAAGAUGUCAGGGGCAGUAAACUCAUCCAAUGCGGUGAGCAACAUGUCACCUUUGUGUCAGAACAUUUCUGCUCUGCUGGAGCUUCCUCUCGUGGAACUGAGCAUUCCCCACAUUACCACUGAGACUUCAGUGAGUGUUGGUGUCGGGGAGCCAGACUUUGUGCUCGGUCAACUCUACCAGCUCUCCACGAGCUUGGCCCCAGAGGUAGCAAAGUCCUGGGCAGCACUGGCCAGCUGGGCGUACCGCUGGGGUAGGAAGGUUGUUGAUAAUGCCAGCCAAGGUGAGGGAUUGCCUCUUCUUUCUGGAGAAAAGAAGGAUAUUGAGGAACUUCUCCCUGCAACUACAAGUGAAGAAGACAAAGAAACCAUUUUUAGCAUUCUUGGUCAAGCCAUGUGUCGACCAACUGGCAUACAGGAUGAGGAUAUGGCGCUCCAGCAGGAAGAUGACGAGGAUGACAUGGUGGAUGUGAUAUGGCGACAGCUAACAGCUUCCUGCCCCUGGUUAGCAAAGGCCGGCCAACCUGUUGCAGAUGGACUGAUACGGGUUUGGAGACGUGUGGUGGACCGAAUAUUUGGCCUAUACCGGAUCUCUUGCCAAGCAUAUUUCACAUUCUUGAAGCUCAAUGCGGGCCAGGUCCCUAUCGAUGAGGACGACCCAAAACUCUUACUGUCCUGUCAUAACAGCAAACAGAGUAAUGAUGACGUGAUAGUCAUGGCAACCCUUCGUCUCCUCCGUCUGUUGGUCAAGCAUGCUGGGGAACUGAGGGAAGGGCUUGAGCUAGGUUUAGCGUCCACCCCGACAGCACCUUGGAGGGGUAUCACGCCACAACUUUUUUCACGUCUUAAUCAUCCAGAAGCAUACAUACGACAAAGCAUAUGCAGCUUGCUCUGCCGAGUGGCCCAGGACUCCCCACAUCUCAUCCUUUACCCUGCCAUUGUGGGUUCACUCUCUUUUGGAGGGGAUGCUCAAAAUUCAGGGAGCAAACUGCCAUCAGCUUUGCCCACAUUUUUGGGGAGCAUCCAAGUGGAGGGCCUUGGUGGGGAGGAGGAGGAGCAGCCAGAGAGUGGUGACAAAGGAGACACUCCAGAAGAGCUGGCAACAUUCUGCUCCAGUCAAGACCAAGCCAUGAUGCAGGAUUGUUACAGCAAGAUAGUGGAGAAGCUGUCUUUAGCCAACCCAACCAUGGUGCUUCAGGUCCAACAGUUAGUCGGUGAGCUGCGCAGGGUGACGUUACUCUGGGAUGAAUUGUGGCUAGGUGUGUUGCAGCAGCAGCACAUGCAUGUCCUGCGCAGGAUCCAACAGCUGGAGGACGAGGUUAAGAGGGUUCAGAACAAUAACACGCUCCGCAGGGAUGAGAAGAUAGCGAUAAUGCGUGAGAAGCACUCUGCUCUGAUGCGGCCUGUGGUUUUUGCCCUGGAACAUGUCUGCAGCAUCACAUCGGCCCCUGCGGAGACACCUCACGAGACCUGGUUCCAGCAAACCUAUGGCGAUGCUAUAAAGUCUGCCCUCGAGCGACUGACGAACCCCCACAACCCUGCCAACCCUGCCAGCAGCUGGCUCCCAUUCAAACAGAUUAUGUUAAGCCUGCAGCAGCGUGCUCAGAAGCGAGCCAGCUAUCUUCUCCAUUUGGAUGAGAUCAGUCCACACCUGGCAUCUCUGACUGCAACAGAAAUGGCCCUGCCAGGUGUGGUGUCAGCAUCAGACACUGUCACCAUUCAGAGCAUUGGCAAAUCCAUCACCAUUCUCCCCACCAAGACCAAGCCAAAGAAGCUUUUUUUCCAGGGCUCUGAUGGUCACAACUACCCAUACCUUUUCAAAGGUCUUGAGGAUUUACACUUGGAUGAGCGCAUCAUGCAGUUCUUAUCGAUUGUAAAUACAAUGUUCACCAAGAUCAACCAACAAGAGCAGCCACGCUUCCAUGCUCGCCAUUAUUCUGUCACACCCCUUGGAACACGAUCGGGACUGAUCCAGUGGGUUGAUGGAGCCACGCCCCUCUUUGGCCUAUACAAGCGCUGGCAGCAGAGGGAGGCUGUGCUGCAGGCUCAGAAGGCCCAAGACUCAUUCCAGCAGCAGCCAGUGCCUCUUGUACCACGCCCAAGUGAGCUCUAUUACAGUCGCAUUGGUCCUGCCCUGAAAGCGGUUGGGCUCAGUCUGGACGUAACACGGCGAGAUUGGCCCCUCAGUGUCAUGAAGGAGGUGCUGAAAGAAUUGAUGGAGGCCACGCCUUCCAAUUUACUGGCCAAGGAGCUGUGGUGUUCAUGUACCACACCUAGUGAAUGGUGGAGGGUCACUCAGUCAUAUGCCAGAUCCACUGCUGUCAUGUCAAUGGUGGGAUACAUAAUUGGCCUUGGAGACAGACACCUUGACAAUGUGCUUAUUGACAUGACCACUGGAGAGGUUGUACACAUUGAUUACAAUGUCUGUUUUGAAAAAGGAAAGAGCCUAAGAGUCCCAGAGAAGGUUCCAUUCAGAAUGACACACAAUAUUGAGAGUGCGCUGGGAGUUACUGGGGUGGAGGGCAUCUUCAGGCUUUCUUGUGAACAGGUUGUUCAAAUGAUGCGCCGAGGCAGAGAAACACUUUUGACCCUGCUGGAGGCCUUCGUCUAUGAUCCCCUGGUGGAUUGGACUGCUGGGGGGGAGGUGGGCUUUGCCGGUGCAGUGUAUGGAGGAGGGGGCCAACAGGCUGACAGCAAGCAGAGUAAGAGGGAGAUGGAGAGAGAAAUCACACGCUCCCUCUACUCCUCGAGAGUCGCAGAGAUUAAGGUCAACUGGUUUAAGAAUCGUGAUGAAAUGCUGGCUGUCCUGCCACAAGUGGAAGAGGCUGUGGAUGAGUACUUGGUCCUCCAGGAUCUGCUCUGCCAGGGAGAGAAACUACAGGCCAAGCUUCAGGAGGAGGUAGCCUUCCUGGAAGGAGCAGAGAACCAACCAGAGCAUCGAAUUGUCACUCUGGAGCAAAGAUACUCUGAACACACCCAGCUGCAAUCGCGACAGAGGACUGUGCAAGAGGCCAUUCAAAGUAAGCUGGCUGACCUGGAUCAAUGGAUUUCGCAGUACCAGGCGGCAUUUUCCAACCUGGAGACAACUCAGCUGGCUGCUCUGCUGCAGGACAUCAGUACCCCCAUAGAUCUGGGUCCUCCCAGCUAUGUGCCAGCUACAGCCUUUUUGCAGAAUGCAGGCCAGGCCCAUCUGAUCAGCCAGUGUGAAAGCCUGGAGGCAGAGGUGAGCUCCUUGCUGCAGCAGCGCCGUGGGGCCCUUCGUAUUUGCUUGGAGCAGCUGCAUAGCUACGCGACAGUUGCUUUGCUCUACCCACGAACCAACAUGCUGCGCCAUCGAACCCACCAGUGGAAGGCCUGGUUGGAAGAAAUGCUGAGAGUCAUGUCAGUUGAUCACUGCCAGCAUAUCUACAGACAAUAUGAGGUGCUCUUUGCCCCUCAGUCCAAUGCAGCCACCUGCCAGUUCAUGUCCAAUGUAGAAUUGGCUCUGCAGCGCCAAGUGGCUGACACCAAUGAGCGCGUGAUGCACCAAGCUGAGCGACUGAAAGCUGAAGGCACAACUGCAGCAGCCUGUGAGGAGCAGUUGAAGGAAAUUGAGCACUGCAUUGGGGUCUUCCUGCGAGAAAACGGAGAGUCAGGCUCACUCAGUCUUGCUGGGAUAAUCACCUCUGCCCUUGGCUCACUCUGCAGGCGCAACCUUGUGAUGGAGAGUGCAGCAGCCAGUGCUGGAGAGCAGCUGGUAGAUCUUAUGUCCCGAGAUGGAGCAUGGUUCCUAGAGGAGCUCUGCAGCAUGAUUGGAAACGUCAGUGCCUUGGCAACACUAUUGCAACGCUGCCCCCUCCUGCCUAAUGAUCUGGAGCUUCCAUCACCCUCCGCCACCAUUCAGGCAGUUUACCUGGCCAAUUCUGUGUAUACCUGCUUGCAGGAACUGAACACCAAUUUCCGUCAGAUCAUCUUUCCUGAGGCUCUGCGAUGUAUGGUGAAAGGAGAGCCCACCCUGGAGUCCAUGUUGUCAGAAUUGGAGCAGCUGGUGGAGCAGAGCUCUGAUGGUCUUGGCUUGCAGGGCUUGGUUGACAAUCUGAUGGCUACCACAGAGCUAGACCACGGUGGACACAACCAAUGUCUGGACAUCACAAGAAUGUUGCGUGCCCAGUACUCUGAGCUCAUUCAGCCACGCUGCACUGACGGGACGGGCCAGGACUCACCGAAGAUGUCUGCUGGUCAAAUGCUCCUGGUGGCCUUUGAUGGAAUGUUCACUCAGUUAGAGACCGCCUUCGGACAGCUCACUGAAAAGUUGAGGUCACUGGAAGUGCCAUCAGCGUGGAGGAAGGUGGAUGUUAUGAGAGAAGCACGCGCUGCGCAGCUCCACUUCUUUGACAGUCUGGCUCAGCGGGAAGUGAUGGAGGAGGUUUUCUUCCUUAAAAGACUACAAACCAUCCGAGAUUUCUUCAGAAUGUGCUCCUGCUUUGCUCAGACACUAUCUGGGCCCCCUGGUGAUGAGCUGUCGAGCUCCAAUGGACCAGUCGGUUUAGGAAAACCGUUGUACCGGCAGACGAAUGCUACUGGCACGAGUGGGGCAAUAAUCAGUGAGGAACAAAUGACCCGCCCCAUCAAGGCCUUUACAGCUGAAUUUGUUUGGCAGAUGCUCAUGGGUCUGCCCAGCCAAGCUCUUGGGCUAGCCCUCUGCAGCACCCUGUCUGCUCUUGGGCUGGAUGUCGUUGCCCAGGUUGAGGCUAAAGAUUUCGGUGCAGAGAGCAAGGUGUCUUUGGACGAACUUUGUAAGAAAGCAGCAGAGCAGAACCUGGCAACCGGCCAUGUCUCCCAACUGCUGCUAAACAGAGUCACAGUGCUGGCCGCCUCUUACGACACAGCCUGGAAGAAGUUGGACCUGUUGCGAAGGUUGGAUGGCAACCUGGAUGCUGCAAAGGCCAGCCUACAGAGGAUUCAACUGCAUGUUGCCAUGUUUCAGUGGCAGCAUGAGGACAUCGUGGGUCCCAAUAAUCAGACGCUAAGUGUCAACAUUCCCCCUCGUGCAGUCAUCCUCAGCAACAUAAAAAAGAAGUUGUAUAAGCUCAGUCAGGAUGAGGGAGCCAUUGUUGCAAUUCAGGAGAAGCUUUCCUCACUGGAGGCUAGCAUUGAGCAGCGUCUUAAAUGGGCUGGGGGUGCAAACCCCGCACUGGCCCCAGUCCUUCAGGACUUUGAGAUGACCAUCAGGGAGAAACGUGCCACGGUGGCCAGGGAAAACCAGCGGGCAAGCCAGGUCACCUUCUUGUGUUCCACCAUCCUAAACUUUGAAGGCCUUCGCACCCGAUCCCCCGAGGCUCUCAACAUGGAUGCAGCCUUGUUUGAACUGUUGAAACGCUGCCAGCAGACAUGUUCUUACGCUGCCCAGUUUAGUAGCACAGUGUCUCCACUGGAGCUGGAACUAUUGCAGAGGCUGAGUCCGGUGCUGGACCUACCAAUAGGCAGCCCCGAUUGGCUGAGCUGUGCCCAGAGACGGCUGGAAGAGGAGCUUAGUUCAGAGCAGAGGAUGCAAGAAGAGCGUGAGCAGCAGCUGGAAUCCUGUGCUGAAACACAGCAACUCCUCGUCGACUCCAUUAAAACCAUUUUGUCCAGCCACAACCGCCAACUGGCUGAUGUCAAGCACCUCCUCCGAGCCAUGGCUAAGGAUGAGGAAGCGGCGUUGGCCGAUGGCGAAGAGGUGGCAUAUGAGGGCAGUGUUCGCCAUUUUUUGAUGGAGUACAAAGCAUGGCAGGACAACAUCCAGGUGGUCUUAUUCACUGUCAUCCAGGCCAGUGGGCAGCCACGUAAUCAGGAGCAACUCGAAUUGCUCGAAGAGAUCCCAACCACUGUGAAGGAGCUCCAGUCCCAGAGUCAGAGUGUAUAUAAUGGCCUAGUGGGCUUCGCCUCCCCACUGGUGACGGACAGAGAAAAUGACUGCGCCAGCCCUGUGUCAGCAGCCCAGACGAGCUUUGCAGCGGCUGUUCGAUGCAGCGGGUUGAAGACCCAGCCAGAAUCCAUGUCCCAGAAUGCACGGAAGGCCCUGCCACGUAACCUUGGAACCCCCACGGACACCCCACCCAGCACACUGAUGAACAGCAAAGGCCUGAACCCCAGCCCCAAAAGGGCUGUGCGAGACCCCAAAACAGGAAAAGUAGUUAAUCCUCCUGUAAACCUCCUUUGGCUGCAGCUGUCCAGGAGAGGAACUCGUAUGCUGUCAGUGUGUGGAAGAGAGUGAAAGCCAAGCUGGAGGGCAGAGACAUCGAUCCGAACCGGAGGAUGAGUGUCGCUGAGCAGGUGGACUUUGUCAUCAAGGACGCCACAAACAUGGACAACCUAGCCCAGCUGUACGAGGGCUGGACCGCCUGGGUGUGAACACGGCACCGGCGUCAUUCAUGUCUUUGGUCCAGUGACGGGUUAGAGAUCCACUAGAGUCCAGCGGGUCUUGGGUGUCGGAACAGCAGUACCAGGCUACACUGCGAGGAGGAAAAUGGAAAGCGGAAGCUUAGCCCGCCCUCCCGACCUCCUGGGCACCCACACCGGGCUAGCCCCCUCCACUCCCGCAAACAUAGGCGGGCCAACGCAACGCAUAGUGGGUCUGCCGCCCCACCUCCUUUUCUGGGGCCCGACCAGGCAAAGCUGCGCCGGAUCGGGGGAGGGGCGGGAAGGAGGGCAAACGCCUCCUCGCCGUCACCUGGGAGAUACCUUCCCCCCCUUACCUUUGCAGCCCACUAUCAAGUUGCACCCCAAACAUCACUGCAUCCUGUUGAGCUUGUUCAACUUCGCCUGAGUUCAGGAUUGAAGCAGGAAGUGAGCCGUUUCCCUCUGAAGUACACCGCCAUCAGGCUGUGGGUGGGACUUCACCGAGGGCCCAAAGCUCAUCAAUGGCUUGUUGGCGUAGCCCCCUCCACCCCCUGUUCUCUUGAAACUCUGCCUCAACGGGUAUGUGAUAUUGAUGGCCUGUGGGCCAGUUGGGCCGGAAUAAAAAGAAUGAAGGUUCCUCAGAAUUCUUCUGAAGACUGAAAUGGGAGGGGAAAUUGAUAAUCAAACUGUUCUUUGAUUGAUCAAAGCAUCAUUAGACUUGACCAAAUAAAAGAUUGUUAUUCGGAGUGAUUUGCUCGUCGGGAUGGUCCUUUGUGCUUUUGUAUGUCAAGCUGAAGCACCAAGUCACACGUGACAGUAAAGUGUGAAUUUAUUUAGAGGAGACAUAACCUCCAGGAAAUAUUUCUUCUGUGUGCAUCUUACUUAGUCUGUGUUGUGCUUUGUAACAUAUUGACUCUUCUUUACAAAUAACCAAGUGUAGACUGUUGCUGCCUUUUUUGACUAGCCUACGUAGAAGUUCUUACUUUCCUUAUUAGUCGUAACUACCUUAGCCCUAAUGAUUGUAUUUUAUUCAUCUGGACUUUCUAGUUUUACAUUUUUAGUGGGAGAUAUGAUGCUUUUGGGUGAUGGUGAAAAUGUUUUCUUAAAGAUUUUACUCUCUUUGUUUGACUCCAAAUAAAUGUUGAAUUCAUGUC